rnacentral:rRNA from 1 species
AACGAACGCUGGCGGCAGGCCUAACACAUGCCAGUCGAGCGAGAUCUUCGGGUCUAGCGGCGGACGGGUGAGUAACGCGUGGGAAUAUGCCCUUCUCUGCGGAAUAGCCUCGGGAAACUGAGCGUAAUACCGCAUACGCCCUUUGGGGGAAAGAUUUAUCGGAGAAGGAUUAGCCCGCGUUGGAUUAGGUAGUUGGUGGGGUAACGGCCUACCAAGCCGACGAUCCAUAGCUGGUUUGAGAGGAUGAUCAGCCACACUGGGACUGAGACACGGCCCAGACUCCUACGGGAGGCAGCAGUGGGGAAUCUUAGACAAUGGGGGCAACCCUGAUCUAGCCAUGCCGCGUGAGUGAUGAAGGCCUUAGGGUUGUAAAGCUCUUUCAGCUGGGAAGAUAAUGACGGUACCAGCAGAAGAAGCCCCGGCUAACUCCGUG